CGGGGGAGCAAGCGUUGUUCGGAUUUACUGGGCGUAAAGGGCGCGUAGGCGGCCACCGCAAGUCAGUUGUGAAAUCUCUGGGCUUAACCCAGAAAGGUCAACUGAUACUGCGGGGCUAGAGUGCAGAAGGGGCAACUGGAAUUCUCGGUGUAGCGGUGAAAUGCGUAGAUAUCGAGAGGAACACCUGCGGCGAAGGCGGGUUGCUGGGCUGACACUGACGCUGAGGCGCGAAAGCUAGGGGAGCGAACGGGAUUAGAUACCCCGGUAGUCCUAGCCUUAAACGAUGAAUGCUUGGUGUCUGGGGUUUUAUAGUCCCCGGGUGCCGUCGCUAACGCUUUUAGCAUUCCGCCUGGGGAGUACGGUCGCAAGACUG
rnacentral:rRNA from 1 species